rnacentral:rRNA from 1 species
CCCUUAGAGUUUGAUCCUGGCUCAGGAUGAACGCUGGCGGCGUGCUUAACACAUGCAAGUCGAGCGAAGCAAUUUAAGUGAAGUUUUCGGAUGGAUCUUAGAUUGACUGAGCGGCGGACGGGUGAGUAACGCGUGGAUAACCUGCCUCACACAGGGGGAUAACAGUUAGAAAUGACUGCUAAUACCGCAUAAGCGCACGGUACCGCAUGGUACAGUGUGAAAAACUCCGGUGGUGUGAGAUGGAUCCGCGUCUGAUUAGGUAGUUGGUGAGGUAACGGCCCACCAAGCCGACGAUCAGUAGCCGACCUGAGAGGGCGACCGGCCACAUUGGGACUGAGACACGGCCCAAACUCCUACGGGAGGCAGCAGUGGGGAAUAUUGCACAAUGGGCGAAAGCCUGAUGCAGCAACGCCGCGUGAGUGAAGAAGUAUCUCGGUAUGUAAAGCU